AUUGAACGCUGGCGGAAUGCUUUACACAUGCAAGUCGAGCGGCAGCACGGGGGCAACCCUGGUGGCGAGCGGCGAACGGGUGAGUAACACAUCGGAACAUGCCCAGUCGUGGGGGAUAACACUCCGAAAGAAGUGCUAAUACCGCAUACGUCCUGAGGGAGAAAGCGGGGGAUCUUCGGACCUCGCGCGAUUGGAGUGGCCGAUGUCAGAUUAGCUAGUUGGUGGGGUAAAGGCCUACCAAGGCAACGAUCUGUAGCUGGUCUGAGAGGAUGGUCAGCCACACUGGGACUGAGACACGGCCCAGACUCCUACGGGAGGCAGCAGUGGGGAAUUUUGGACAAUGGGGGCAACCCUGAUCCAGCCAUUCCGCGUGAGUGAAGAAGGCCUUCGGGUUGUAAAGCUCUUUCGGCAGGAACGAAACGGCGAGCUCUAACAUAGCUUGCUAAUGACGGUACCUGAAGAAGAAGCACCGGCUAACUACGUGCCAGCAGCCGCCGUAAUAC
rnacentral:rRNA from 1 species